AAGUUAAAUGGUAUUUUUCCCUUAUUACUCCUAAUAUUCUGCUUUUAUGUGCUACCCACAAAGCAUGAUCCCCCUCCCAUCUUUAACUUUAGUCCUGCUAUUUCUCCGUUGUAUUUGCAUAUAUAUAUAUAUAAUCUAAUCCCAGCCACGUCACUACCUCGCCGGGGUUAGGCCAGACACUUACCAGCACGUAGGGUCGGUUGUGCUGAUACUACACUCUGUGCUCUUUUGCAUAGAUUCGGGUAUCAGACAGCAGCAAUAGUCAGAGGGCUUCUUUCAAUCCACCCGGAGGCCCACAGUAGAUCUUCAGGCGUUCGUUGACCCUAGUGUCUCCUUCUAUCUUUAGGGUUAGUCCAGACACUUACCAGCACUUGGGAUCGGUUGUGUUGAUACUACACUCUGUGCUUUUAUGCACAGAUCUGGGUAUCGAAUAGUAGCAGUAGUCAGAGGGCUUCUUUCAAUCCACCCGGAGGCCCAAAGUAGAUUUGUAAGCAUUCACGAACCCUAGCCUCUCCUUCUAUCUUUAUUCCCUAUUUCAUUUUCCAUUUGUUCAGAAACAUCUUAUUGUAUUUUUCCUUCGGACUUUUUUGUAGUGACUCAUAGAUAGGCUGUGAUACUGUGAUACCAAGUAUUCAUAUAUAUA
rnacentral:lncRNA from 1 species